UAAAGGUCUUGAUGGAGACGGAAGAG
rnacentral:piRNA from 1 species